CUGGAACUCACAGAUGGACCAGGCACCAAGCCCCUACUUUCUCUUCUUUACAGUUUGUUUACUUCUUUUGCAACUUGCUUAGUUUCAUGUCACCUUAGAAACCUCAGUUGGACUCCAACUGAUCACACAGCUAACAGUCAGAGGCGUGUCAAGAAGAAGAUACUCGAGUUCACUCGCAUUUAGCUGAUUUAGCCAUGUUAACUACAACCACAGCAGAGCCUGGGUACCUGUACCAGGUAGCAGCAACACCAGAAGCAGACAUUCCCUGCAGACAACUCUCAAGUGCACCGAGUAGAUAGAUGUUGAUGUCUGCUGACUAUUGUUUGUGUCACCUGAGGUGCAAUUAGGUGCCCAAGAAAUCCAUGCAGGACUGCCAAGGAUGGCACUCCAGGUAUGUGACUCCUUUACCAAUAUGGAGCAGCAGCUGGAGUCCAGAUGGGAGAACUGAGCACUUCCAAUAGUGCUGGACUCCUACAACUAGAUCAAGCCUCUGAACGCUGGUAGUUUAAUCUGAGGCUUUCCAUUUUAAAGCAACUCUGAAAUUCUAGGCAGAAGUAUUUCUUCAAAUGUUACCAUAAACGUGAAAAAGGAAGGCACAAGACUAUAUUUAGGAAAGAAACAAUGCUUAAAAACGGCACUAUGCAACAUCUUGAAGGUUAUCUGAAGUAGGGCAUAGAGCAGUGCUAGCACACUGACUACAGAAGGCGCUGCAGAAGACAAGGCCCUUCUCAUGAAGCUUUACUUCCUGCCUGCAGGAACUACUGAGUACUAAGUGCAAUAGCUAAACAACUCAGAAAGACAACUCGUAUUGGUAACUCUGUUCUUAUACCAGCUAACCUAAGCACUUAUCCAUGCCAUGGGUAACACUCCUAUUGCUCUAGAAG